rnacentral:lncRNA from 1 species
AUAAUGCAAGUGUAAGCUUGGAAAAAAGCACUACGUGUCUGCUUGCACUCCUGAGCCUCCACCAUUGCUAUGAAAACAUGCCUGGGAGAGCCUGCUGGAAGACAGUACCCAGAGCAGCGCCCCAGUCUCUCCAGUUGACUAGCCAGGACCAGCCUAGAUCUUCUGACAACUGGAUGACCUUCAGAUAUCAUAAGAAAACAGCCGAAGAUUAGAUUUUGAUAAUGAGAGAGCCCAACGAUCCUGGACCCCUGGCCGGGAGGACAAUAGGGGAAACAGGUGAAACGCUGUGUGAGCUGGACCACCCAGGCUCUCCAACACCAGGACACCAGAGCAUCCUUCCUCCUUCUUCUCUUCUGCUGCGACUUCCUGGAGGCAUAGCAGAGUUACAACUGCUGGCCAUGUGGAACUUCUCUUCUCCUAUAAGUUUGCUCUGAGAUGGAGAGAAUGUGCCUGUGGUUCAUUAGGAAGAGCUCUUGGGAUCAAUGCCUGUAAAAAGGAAGGGAAGGAAGCAGGAUUGGCCAGAAGGAGAAGUUGAGCUGUGAUGAAGUCUCAAUGGAGACCUCAGCCAAUUCUGAGUCAUGUCCUGAAGCUAGAAUAUGUCCUCUAAAUUAUCCCAAGCUGAGAUGAGGGAGCUGGGCAUUUAGCCCUGAAUUAGGCCAUUCUUGCACUGCUAUAGAGAAAUAACUAUGGCCUGGCGCCGUGGCUCACGUCCUUAAUCCUAGCACUUUGGGAGGCCGAGGCGAGCAGAUCACGAGGUCAGAGUUUGACACCAGCCUGGCCAGUAUGGUGAAACCCCAAUUCUACUAAAAAUACGAAAAUUAGCCAGGCAUGGUGGCACAUGUCUGUAAUCUUAGCUACUUGGGAGGCUGAGGCAGGAGAAUUGCUUGAACCCAGGAAGUGGAGGUUGCAGUGAGCUGAGAUUGUGCCUCUGCACUCCAGCCUAGGGAAUAAAGCGAAAGUCUGUCAAAAAAAAAAAAAAAAAAAAAAAGGAAAGAAGGAAAUAACUGAGACUGGUAAUUUAUAAAGAAGAGGUUUAAUGCUCACAGUUCCUCAUGCUAUACAAAAAGCAUGAUGCUGGCAUCUGCUCAGCUUCUUGGGAGGCCUCAGGAAAUGUACAAUCAUGGCAGAAGGUGACGCGGGAGCAGGCACUUCACAGGGCCGGUGCAGGAGGAGAGAGAGAGGCAGGAGAUGCUACACACCUUUAAACAACCAGAUCUCCUGAUAACUCACUCUCAUCACAACACCACCAAGGGAGAUGGUGUUAAACCAUGAGAAACCACCUCCACGAUCCAAUCACCUCCCACCAGGCCUCACCUCCAACACUGGGGAUUUAUAAUUCCACGUGAGAUUUGGGUGGGGGACACAGAUCCAAAAUAUAUCAUACCCCCACGUUGAUCAGUCAUUAGAUGUGGGCCACCCUAGUUGAGGCAGCUCCCCUCGCUCAGGUGGUUCCUGAAGCGAGCUGACAGCUGACGGCUGCAUGCCAGAGGUACCGUCAGCAGCUGAAGGAGAGUCUUUUGUGCUAAAAGCCAUCUUAAGCAGCACAGCACAGCGUCCACCACAUAUUGUGGACAGGUGAUAUGGUUUAGAUCUGUAUCCCCGCCACAAUUUCAUGCUGAAUUGUAAUCCCCAAUGUUGGAGGUAAGCCCUGGUGGGAGGUGUUCGGGUCGUGGGAGCAGAUCCCUCAUGAAUGGCUUGGGCCAUCCUCUUGGUGAUGAGGGAACACUCACUCUGAGUGUUCACAAGAUCUGGUGGUUUAAACGUGUGUGGCACCUCUCCCCACCCCCACUCUUUCUUGUUCCUGCUUUUGCCAUGGGACGCGCAUGAUCCCUUUGCCUUCUGCCAGGACUAAAAGCUCCCCGGAGCCUUCUCAGAAGCUGAGCGAUGUUGGCGCCAUGCUUCUGGUACAGCCUGCAGAACCAUGAGCCAAUUCAACCUCCUUUCUUUAUAAAUUACCCAGCCUCAGGUAUUUCUUUAUGGCAAUACAAGAACAGCCUAAUACACCAGGGGUUUGCAGGUAACCCAGGCCCUUGUCCUUGAGGACACAGCAGCAAGCCAUUGGUAAAGCAAAACUGUCCAUAAGGAAGGCUGCUCCCAUGCAGUGUUCAUUUGGGCAGCCCAGAAAGCGAGAAAUCCUCGGUCCAUUUCAAGUUUGGGGAAAACUUAUUUUUAUCAUAUUUGAGAUGAAUAAUAAAAGCAAAUCCAGAA